rnacentral:rRNA from 1 species
GUGUCAGCCGCCGCGGUAAUACGGAGGGUGCGAGCGUUAAUCGGAAUUACUGGGCGUAAAGGGCGCGUAGGCGGUCGCGCAAGUCGGGUGUGAAAGCCCCGGGCUCAACCUGGGAAUUGCAUUCGAUACUGCGUAACUAGAGUCUGGUAGAGGGAAGCGGAAUUCCGCAUGUAGCGGUGAAAUGCGUAGAUAUGCGGAGGAACACCAGUGGCGAAGGCGGCUUCCUGGACCAAGACUGACGCUGAGGCGCGAAAGCGUGGGGAGCAAACAGGAUUAGAUACCCUGGUAGUCCACGCCCUAAACGAUGAGGACUAGACGUUGGGGGGAUAAAACCCUUUAGUGUCACAGCUAACGCGUGAAGUCCUCCGCCCGGGGAGUACGGCCGCAAGGUUGAAAUUCAAAGGAAUUGGCGG